rnacentral:rRNA from 1 species
UACGUAGGGUGCAAGCGUUGUCCGGAAUUAUUGGGCGUAAAGAGCUCGUAGGCGGCUUGUCGCGUCUGCUGUGAAAACCCGAGGCUCAACCUCGGGCCUGCAGUGGGUACGGGCAGGCUAGAGUGCGGUAGGGGAGAUUGGAAUUCCUGGUGUAGCGGUGGAAUGCGCAGAUAUCAGGAGGAACACCGGUGGCGAAGGCGGAUCUCUGGGCCAUUACUGACGCUGAGGAGCGAAAGCGUGGGGAGCGAACAGG